rnacentral:rRNA from 1 species
UACAGAGGGGGCAAGCGUUGUCCGGAAUUAUUGGGCGUAAAGCGCGCGCAGGCGGUCUUUUAAGUCUGAUGUGAAAGCCCCCGGCUCAACCGGGGAGGGUCAUUGGAAACUGGGAGACUUGAGUGCAGAAGAGAAGAGUGGAAUUCCACGUGUAGCGGUGAAAUGCGUAGAGAUGUGGAGGAACACCAGUGGCGAAGGCGACUCUUUGGUCUGUAACUGACGCUGAGGCGCGAAAGCGUGGGGAGCAAACAGG